CACUAAAUGAACCCCAGAAAAACUUUCCUCUAGCAGUAGUUGAGUUUUGUGACGACACUAACAUUCUAUUAAAACUCAUUACGUGUGCAUGACGUGUGGCCAUUUAGAACGCUGUAGAACUCGCGAAUUUAGACAGACUUCUGAACAUUGCAGUGAAAAUCACAUUACGAUCAUUACUCUAACGUUUUUUACUGUAUCGUUACAUCUGGAGUUUGAUAACAAACCUACAAUGGCUUGCGCUCAAUCCCAACAACAAAGAGAACUGGCAUUUGCAGCCCAGUUAGCUGCGAAACUUGCAGUACCACACCUGGAGGAGGACGACGGUCUUCAAUCAGUCGUCGCCAACUUCAUGUGGAAUCUGACAGAGCAGAAUCUGGAGGUGGUACAGGCGUCGUUGAGCUACCCGUUCUACAGACACCAAAUCGAUCAAAUGCUGACGUCUAUUGUGAAGUCAGCCACCACCACCGUAUCUGAUUUACUGCCCAAACUGUCAGAGAUAACAGGUGUGAGUCCGUCAGCAGUGGUGAACCCGACAUCCUCAUCCAGUGAAGACCUUUAUCAGGACACAUUGAGCAUACCAGAGAUCCUGAAGGUGGAAAAACUGCCCUUCAUGCAUCCCCUUGAAAGCUUUUACGGGAUCACAGUGGAAAGUCUCAUGGCAGACUGCAGCUUCCUGGACUCUUUAGGAGAAGUCAGUUUGCAGUCGUCUGAGCUCCCUGGAAUUGUUGUGGAGCAUGUUCUCCAUCGGGUCAACAUGGUGAUGCAUAACAAUGUCCUGAAGGUCAACUUGGCAUCAUUGUCAUCGUCAUUCCUUUAUUUCAGCCCCGAUGAGUCCUGCAGUGCUAUUGGAGAGUUGUUGAUCAAUGGAGUCAUCCAAAAGCUCCGUUAUUUACAUCACUGCAUCACUCCAGCAGCGGCCGCAACAGCAAUCGGCACCGUUCUCACUUCAAUUCAGGGCCAACUUCCAACUGCCCAUAGACAGAGUCUAUCGGUGGAGGUCACAAGCAAUGUGAUCGAAUACAUAACAGAGGAUGUCAUUCGCUAUUGGUUAAAUGAUCCCAUUGAGGGGUCCAAAAUUUGGAAAAUUGAAGACGUCCCUGUUCUGAGGCCAACAUUUCAAUCCACUGAUUGUGGAUUGUUGUUCCUGCUGACGUCAGAUCAACUGUCAUGCAGGCCUAAAACAAAAACAACCACUUUAUUUGACUCCCUGAUGACCAAUCGUUGCAAGUUGCAGUGUAGCAAUCACUUCACUGGCAACAGUAACGAUUCCGCAGUUUCAGAUCGUCUGCAUCAGGGACUUGCAGAUUUAAUGAACUGCCUCAUCAGGCGCGAGACGCUCCUUCAAGUCAGACUGACCACGAAAGAGUUUCUUCGAUAUUUCGUGGAGGAGCUUGUGCACAGGCUUUUUGUGUCCUCUACCUUUCCGUGUCCUUCAAAUCUGCCUGAAAAUACAACACUGAUGUCCUUCAUCAUCAAAGAAGCAGACUCCGGUCUGACGGUGGUGGAUCAUAUGACAGCGCUGGUGGUCAGUCAAGUAUUUGAGCUGCUGGCAAAGAAAUAUCCAGUGAGCGAAUCUGACGAAUCUGAACCGAAAACCAAAGAGGUCUCAGUUCAGGCGGAACCACCGAAACUGACCUUCAAGGAGAAGUUGAGGAACAUGAAGGAGAGAAUCCUUAAAAAGCUUAACAAGCCCUUCACAUCCAAAAAGGGCAGCAAGAAGAAGAAGAAGGACAAGGCUGAAGCAAAGGCAGAGUCACAAAAACCCAAAAAGAAGAAGUCACUUUUUGGGAUGACACUUUUCUUCUCUGUGAAAGUGAAGAGUUAAUGAUUUCACUCCUGCUGUGCAUGAAACUGUAAAUAUGAUUUUGAUGUGUUUUAUUGUCAUAUUUGUGUGACAUCCUAAUAAAAAA
ensembl:lincRNA